GCUGUAUUGGGAUUGUGCCACAGAGCAUUAUGGGGGUUCUGUGUGUUGAGAGGCUUGGUGACAUUGUUGGAUCGAGAUUAAGAGUUAUAGUUGAGCAUUUUGGGGAUAUUAUUCAAUUCAAAUUCGUUUUUUCAAGUUACAGGAGACGGAGGAGCCAAGUCCCCUCCUGUUCCCUGAUUAAGCAGUGAUGACCACUCCACUCCACUACCAUCAACUUUCUCCUGACAUGAACUGAAGCCACGACUUCUCAUGUGCCCACACAUCCACUGGCACCUUGAGUGUUUCCCUUCCAAGCACUUAAAAUCCUGUCCAGCACWGGUCAAGCCUCUGAACAUCUCAACUCAUGCCUCAUAACCUCAUUCAAUCACUGCUGUGAUCCCUUUCCAACACUGCCUUUAUUACGGACAGAAAUACUCAUCAGUUURAUCAGCUGUCCYGGUGACUGGCCUCAGACGAUCCRGCAGGUGAGGAAGAAGGAUGUGGAGGUUCUGGGCUGGCGGGGUUACACGUGGUCUGCGGUUGUGAGGCCGGUUGGAC